rnacentral:tRNA from 1 species
GGGGCUGGGGCUCAGUGGUAGAGUGCUUGCCUCGCAUGCAUGAGGCCGUGUGUUUGAUACUCAGCACCA